CCCUUAGAUGUUCUGGGCCGCACGCGCGCUACACUGAUGCAUUCAACGAGCCUAGCCUUGACCGAGAGGUCCGGGUAAUCUUUGAAACUGCAUCGUGAUGGGGCUAGAUUAUUGCAAUUAUUAAUCUUCAACGAGGAAUGCCUAGUAAGCGUGAUUCAUCAAAUCGCGUUGAUUACGUCCCUGCCCUUUGUACACACCGCCCGUCGCUCCUACCGAUUGAGUGUGUUGGUGAGGAGUUUGGAUUGGCCUCGGAAGGUGGUUCGCCACCGUCCGUAGCUGAGAAGUUCUCCAAACCGCCCCACUUAGAGGAAGGGGAAGUCGUAACA
rnacentral:rRNA from 1 species